GACGAACGCUGGCGGCGUGCUUAACACAUGCAAGUCGAACGGAAAGGCCCUGCUUUUGUGGGGUGCUCGAGUGGCGAAGGGGGGAGUAACACGUGAGUAACCUGUCCUUGACUUUGGGAUAACUUCAGGAAACUGGGGCUAAUAUCGGAUAGGAGCUCCUGCAGCAUGGGGGGGGAUGGAAAGAUUCGGCGGUUGGGGCUGGACUCGGGGCGUAUCAGCUAGUUGGUGGGGUAGCGGCUUACCAAGGCUAUGAUGGGUAGCAGACCUGAGCGGGUGACCGGCGACACUGGAACUGAGACACGGUCCAGACUCCUACGGGAGGCAGCAGUAGGGAAUCUUCCGCAAUGGGCGAGAGCUUGACGGAGCAACGCCGCGUGAGUGAUGAAGGUCUUCGGAUCGUAAAGCUCUGUUAUUAGGGAAGAACAAAUGUGUAAGUAACUAUGCACGUCUUGACGGUACCUAAUCAGAAAGCCACGGCUAACUACGUG
rnacentral:rRNA from 1 species